rnacentral:rRNA from 1 species
UACAGAGGUGGCAAGCGUUGUUCGGAAUUACUGGGCGUAAAGGGCGCGUAGGCGGCCUACUAAGUCAGGCGUGAAAUCCCCCGGCUUAACCUGGGAACUGCGUCUGAUACUGGAAGGCUUGAGGAUGGGAGAGGGAUGUAGAAUUCCAGGUGUAGCGGUGAAAUGCGUAGAUAUCUGGAGGAAUACCGGUGGCGAAGGCGGCAUCCUGGACCAUUACUGACGCUGAGGCGCGAAAGCUAGGGGAGCAAACGGG